GAUUUCAGCUACGCAAGUAACAUAGCUGAAGUUUCGUAUCUUAAUUUGACUUUAGCCCGCAGUGUAGACAUACCCUGUAAGAGACAGGAAGGCUGGUCUUGGCUUUAAGACACAGAGCUGAGACCUAAGAAUUCUGGUUUCCAUUCCCAGCUCUGCUACAGUCUCUCUGUGGACAUACCCUCAGUGAGCUUGUGCAAGUCACUUCAUCUCACUGGGUUUCAGUUUAACCACCUACAAAGCAGGGCUCACAAUCCUUUAUUUGUCUAGUUAGAUGGAGCUUUUCAGGACAAGAGAUGUCUCUCAGUGGUUGUCUUAAGGCCUGGCACAAUGGGGGCCUUGGAUCAGACCUCCUGGUUUCUCUACCUUCUCCUGCCAUUAUGACUAUAGCCAGCUUGCUUCCUCUCUGUGCCUCAUUUUGUCUUUGCCAGGGGUUAACUUAUGAACAAGCUUUGAGCUCUUUGGCAGCAAGAGGCCUGAGAAGGGGAGGGGCAGAAGCAGUAGGAGCCCUGGACAGCCACAGGAAUGUUAUCUGAUCAUGCUGAGAGCUGCAAUUUCACCCCCCACGCUCCAGUUUACAUCUCUCCUAUUGCACUCUGGUUAUGAACUAGCAAAGGAGAAAGAAAUGGAGAGCAGCUCCUUCAUAAUUGGCCAGGAGUCAGGACAGUGCCCUGAAAUAACCCUCUGUGUAGAGGAAAAAGAAGGUGAACUGAAAAUACAAGACUAACAAAACAUAUAGAUGGUAUCAUAAGCUUUUGUGGGCACAGCCCGCUUCUUCAGAUGACCGGAGUGUUGGAUGUCCAGAACUCAGUGUUUUUAGUUCUGGACAUCCAACACUCUGGUCAGCUGAAGAAGUGGGCUGUGCCCGUGAAAGCGCAUGAUACCAUCUACAUGUUUUGUUAGUCUUUAAAUGCUACCAGUCUAUUUUUUGUUUUUUAAGUUUAUCCUGUACAGACUAACUCGGCUACCCCCUGAAGCUUUUGAAAAUAUAAGAUGAGGAAUAAAGGUUCCUUGGGGAACUGUUACCUUCUCCUCCCAGUAGUACAGUAGUGCGAGAGUGAGAUCUAGUGGUUAGAGAAGGAGAGGCUGGGCGUGAAGGUCAGCACUCUUAGGGUAUGUCUAGAGUACAUGGCUGGGUAUAGUUUACCCAGCAUAGGCAAAGAAGUGGGGAAUUAAAUAAUGCCCACUUCAUUAAAAUAAACAUGGCCACCACGCUGUGCCGACGAUCAGCUGAUCCAGCACAGCGCGGCAGUCUAGACGCGGAUCUGACAGCUGGGGAAGCCUUUGUUGACCGCUCCUGUAAACCUCGUUUCUUUGCCUAUGCCAGGUAAACUAGUUUACAUGACUCCAUCGACGGAGCCAUGUAGUCUAGACAUAGCCUUAGGUUCUAUCCCAAGUUCUGGGAAGGGAGAGGGGCCUAGUGGGCAGCAUUGGGGGCAGGGGAGCUUGGACUCACAACUCUUGGGUUCUAUCUUACUCUGGCAGGAUUUAGAGUUGAAUAGGUCAGAAUAAGGUUUUAUUUCAGCUCUGGGACAGGACUGUGAUCUAGUGGCUA